GAGAGCUUCCCUUCCACUCAGCAGAGGAAGCACAAUCUGCCACAGUCAAUGAUGGUCCAAUUCUGUACGGUCAUCUAUGCAGCGAAUCGUCCGAUCAGCUGAGAAGGUUAUUGGCUGCAACCUUCCCUCCAGUGACGAACUGGACACGGCAAGGGCCAGGAAGCGAGCAGAAGUUAGCACUCAGGACAUUUUGUCCCAACAACCUUCAGCCUUGGUGAUAAAUGAAGGAAAUACUGCGACCAUUCCCUGUGACUACCCCGCCAUCUACACCGCUGCUUACCUUUAUUGGUACGCCCAGUAUGAGGGUUGUGGGCCGCAGUAUAUGUUGGUCAGGCACACGGCAAAUCUCGAAGAGAACGCGCCAGCUUUCCAAAAGCGGUUCACUGCACUGCAGGACAGAUUGAACGCUCGCAUCCCUCUGAACAUCUCACUCGCGGAGUUGUCUGACUCCGCUGUAUAUUUCUGCGCGGCCAUGAACCACCAUGUUACAAGAUCACAAGGCACUGGUACAAAAACUAUCGGUUCAGUCUGUGAAUUGUGUCCACAUAACCCGCUACAACCAGGCCUGGACUCCGUGAGCACGUGAUCCAAAUCUGAGGAAGGACAUUAUUGCCAUAGAGGGAGUGCAGAGACGGUUCACCAGACUGAUUCCUGGGAUGUCAGGACUGUCUUAUGAAGAAAGACUGGAUAGACUUGGUUUAUACUCUCUAUAAUUUAGGAGAUUGAGAGGAGAUCUUAUAGAAACUUACAAAAUUCUUAAGGGGUUGGACAGGCUAGAUGCAGGAAGUUUGUUCCCGAUGUUAGGGAAGUCCAGGACAAGGGGUCACAGCUUAAGGAUAAGGGGGAAAUCCUUUAAAACCGAGAUGAGAAGAACUUUUUUCACACAGAGAGUGGUGAAUCCCUGGAACUCUCUGCCACAGAGGGUAGUUGAGGCCAGUUCAUUGGCUAUAUUUAAGAGGGAGUUAGAUGUGGCCCUUGUGGCUAAGGGGGUCAGGGGGUAUGGAGAGAAGGCAGGUACGGGAUACUGAGUUUGGAUGAUCAGCCAUGAUCAUAUUGAAUGGCGGUGCAGGCUCGAAGGGCCGAAUGGCCUACUCCUGCACCUAAUUUCUAUGUUUCUAUGUGAUGUUAUUGCGGGGUUGUAUUUUAUAUUUGCGAUUUUGUCCGGAUUUAAUAAGGAUGUUCGAGAAGUGCAGCAGAUUCAAAUGUUCUA